rnacentral:rRNA from 1 species
AUGAUGUGGUUUAAUUCGAUGCAACGCGAAAACCUUACCCACCUUUGACAUGGCAGGAAUCCCGAAGAGAUUUGGGAGUGCUCGAAAGAGAACCUGCACGCAGGUGCUGCAUGGCUGUCGUCAGCUCGUGUCGUGAGAUGUUGGGUUAAGUCCCGCAACGAGCGCAACCCUUGCCAUUAGUUGCUACGAAAGGGCACUCUAAUGGGACUGCCGGUGACAAACCGGAGGAAGGUGGGGAUGACGUCAAGUCCUCAUGGCCCUUAUAGGUGGGGCUACACACGUCAUACAAUGGCCGGUACAGAGGGUAGCCAACCCGCGAGGGGGAGCCAAUCCCACAAAGCCGGUCGUAGUCCGGAUCGCAGUCUGCAACUCGACUGCGUGAAGUCGGAAUCGCUAGUAAUCGUGGAUCAGCAUGUCACGGUGAAUACGUUCCCGGGUCUU